UAGGGAAUCUUCCACAAUGGGCGCAAGCCUGAUGGAGCAACACCGCGUGAGUGAAGAAGGGUUUCGGCUCGUAAAGCUCUGUUGUUAAAGAAGAACACGUAUGAGAGUAACUGUUCAUACGUUGACGGUAUUUAACCAGAAAGUCACGGACUAACUACGUGCCAG
rnacentral:rRNA from 1 species